AUUGAACGCUGGCGGCAGGCCUAACACAUGCAAGUCGAGCGGAAACGAUCCUAGCUUGCUAGGAGGCGUCGAGCGGCGGACGGGUGAGUAACACGUGAGAAUCUGCCCAUUAGAGGGGGAUAACCUGGGGAAACCCAGGCUAAUACCGCAUAAUCCCUACGGGGGAAAGCAGGGGAUCUUCGGACCUUGUGCUGAUGGAUGAGCUCGCGUCGGAUUAGCUUGUUGGUGAGGUAAUGGCUCACCAAGGCGACGAUCCGUAGCUGGUCUUAGAGGAUGAUCAGCCACACCGGGACUGAGACACGGCCCGGACUCCUACGGGAGGCAGCAGUGGGGAAUCUUGGACAAUGGGGGCAACCCUGAUCCAGCCAUGCCGCGUGUGUGAAGAAGGCCUUCGGGUUGUAAAGCACUUUCAGUAGGGAGGAAGGCUUAUCCUUAAUACGGAUGAGUACUUGACGUUACCUACAGAAGAAGCACCGGCUAAUUUCGUGCCAGCAGCCGCGGUAAUACGAAAGGUGCGAGCGUUAAUCGGAAUUACUGGGCGUAAAGCGCGCGUAGGCGGUUUGCUAAGUCAGAUGUGAAAGCCCCGGGCUCAACCUGGGAACUGCAUUUGAAACUGGCAGGCUAGAAUGCAGUAGAGGGAGGUGGAAUUUCCGGUGUAGCGGUGAAAUGCGUAGAGAUCGGAAGGAACACCAGUGGCGAAG
rnacentral:rRNA from 1 species